rnacentral:rRNA from 1 species
GGAGUCUAGCAUGUGCGCGAGUCAUUGGGACUAGCGAAACCUAAAGGCGAAAUGAAAGUGAAGGCGCGCCUCGCGCGCGCCUAGGGAGGAUGGGCCGCUCUCGGAGCGGCCCCCCGCACUCCCGGGGCGUUUCGUUCUCAUUGCGAGAUGAGGCGCACCCAGAGCGUACACGCUGGGACCCGAAAGAUGGUGAACUAUGCCUGGUCAGGACGAAGUCAGGGGAAACCCUGAUGGAGGUCCGUAGCGAUUCUGACGUGCAAAUCGAUCGUCGGAACUGGGUAUAGGGGCGAAAGACUAAUCGAACCAUCUAGUAGCUGGUUCCCUCCGAAGUUUCCCUCAGGAUAGCUGGCGCUCGUUUAGAGCGAGUCUCAUCCGGUAAAGCGAAUGAUUAGAGGCAUUGGGGUCGAAACGGCCUCAACCUAUUCUCAAACUUUAAAUGGGUGAGAACUCCGGCUUGCU